rnacentral:rRNA from 1 species
CAGCCGCCACGGUAAUACGUAGGUGACAAGCGUUGUCCGGAACUAUUGGGCGUAAAGGGCUCGCAGGCGGUUUCUUAAGUCUGAUGUGAAAGCCCCCGGCUCAACCGGGGAGGGUCAUUGGAAACUGGGAAACUUGAGUGCAGAAGAGGAGAGUGGAAUUCCACGUGUAGCGGUGAAAUGCGUAGAGAUGUGGAGGAACACCAGUGGCGAAGGCGACUCUCUGGUCUGUAACUGACGCUGGGGAGCGAAAGCGUGGGGAGCGAACAGGAUUAGAUACCCCAGUAGUCCCUGUCUCUUAUAC